UGUAAAUCUGUAUGGCUUUGUUUGUUGC
rnacentral:sRNA from 1 species